ACCCCCGGUCAGUUUUGCUGGUUUGCAUUCAGCUUUUAAGACUGUGCGCUGUGCAAAUCCAUGCAAAACUGAUUGUGGCA
rfam:Danio rerio chromosome 1, GRCz11 reference primary assembly.